UGGGGAAUUUUGGACAAUGGGCGAAAGCCUGAUCCAGCAAUGCCGCGUGUGUGAAGAAGGCCUUCGGGUUGUAAAGCACUUUUGUCCGGAAAGAAAUCCUUGGCUCUAAUACAGUCGGGGGAUGACGGUACCGGAAGAAUAAGCACCGGCUAACUACGUGCCAGCAGCCGCGGUAAUACGUAGGGUGCAAGCGUUAAUCGGAAUUACUGGGCGUAAAGCGUGCGCAGGCGGUUUGCUAAGACCGAUGUGAAAUCCCCGGGCCCAACCUGGGAACUGCAUUGGUGACUGGCAGGCUAGAGUAUGGCAGAGGGGGGUAGAAUUCCACGUGUAGCAGUGAAAUGCGUAGAGAUGUGGAGGAAUACCGAUGGCGAAGGCAGCCCCCUGGGCCAAUACUGACGCUCAUGCACGAAAGCGUGGGGAGCAAACAGGAUUAGAUACCCUGGUAGUCCACGCCCUAAACGAUGUCAACUAGUUGUUGGGGAUUCAUUCCUUAGUAACGUAGCUAACGCGUGAAGUUGACCGCCUGGGGAGUACGGUCGCAAGAUUAAAACUCAAAGGAAUUGACGGGGUCAU
rnacentral:rRNA from 1 species